AGCAUUAUGGACCCACCUGAUUCCAUGCCGAACUCAGAAGUGAAACGUAAUAGCGCCGAUGGUAGUGUGGGGUUUCCCCAUGUGAGAGUAGGACAUCGCCAGGC
rnacentral:rRNA from 1 species